CUUCGAACGGAUGUUCUUAGGCUACCCAGAGGAUACUUGGUCAAAGACCGGAAAUAGUGAGCUGCUUGAGCCAUGUGUAAAAGAGUCGUUUCUGGCCACUCCCAAGUGAAUGGCUUUCAGAGAACUUUCCUCACUUGCGUGAACUUCUACACAUGACCCCAUCCGCCAACAGUAAUUUCUAGGUAUUUCAAAAAACAAAUCGUGAGAUGCAGCAAGAUAUAAUAUGUGUACAUAGGCUGUUAAGAGUGAUGAGGGAGAGAUUUGAUUUUCAUUUAAGCGGAGUACUACCUAACCGGGAUGGACUGUACACAUAAAUCAGAGGAAUAUUGAAUAUUUUUUUUGAAAUAUUUCUUGACUUGAAAAUCGACAAAUAAACUAUGUUGUCAACUUUAUUCUAUAUAUGUAUAUAUUUGCGGGGUUGUCACUUUUUUCCAUAAAAUUUGUAACGUAGCUUUGACCACCUCACAAUAAUUUACGUCAACUUCGCUCCACAGUACAUCAUGUACCCUCACCAUACCACCAUACGUACUAAACUUCACCGCAUUGACUACGCACCCAACUCACCUCACUACGAUGAUGAAAGCUGCUAGAGCUUUUCACCAUACGUACUAACGCACCAUACGCAUACAACUUACCUCGCUACGGUGACGAAAGCUGCGCUAUGCUGCUAUAAAAGCAAGCACUUUACACCAAAUGCGUUCAUUUGCUCCAGCUCGCCGAACCGGACGGUCGCCCAGCAUCGCGUAGGAAAGCAGCAGUAAGCAGGGGUAAGUGCAAGUAGAAGAAGAUACUUCGCAGGCAUUGACCCUGCCGUAGAAGUGUAGUGCAUACCGUAGAGGGUUCUUCGCAGGCAUUGCGCAGAAAAGGCAUCACACUUCGGUGUGAUGCCAGUGCUCGCAAUGACUGCCAUAGAAUGGGGUACUUCGCAGGCAGUGCGCAGAAAAGGCAUCACACUUCGGUGUGAUGCCAGUGCUCGCAAUGACUGCCAUAGAAUGGGAUACUUCGCAGGCAUUGCGCAGAAAAGGCAUCACGCUUUGGUGAUGCCAGUGCUCGCAAUGACUGCCGUAUACCAUAGAAUGAGGCACUUCGCAGGCGUUGCGUAGAAAAGGCAUCACGCUUUGGUGAUGCCAGUGCUCGCAAUGACUCUGCCGUUUUGUUAGGCAGGUAUCGGUACGCGCAAAGGCUCGACCGUUACUAUGAGGGGCACAGCCGCGCUGCUUCGAACAGCGUCAGUACCACUGCUUACGUACCGUAGGGCACCGUUAUGAAAAACUAACGUGACUAACAGGCGACACGUAAGUGGCGGACAGUUGAGAGUUGAUAGCUGGAGGCCAACGAAGACGGUUGGCGAAUAAUAAGAUCUCUCCUACACAGAGGAGCCCGUCGUAUACAUCGCCGUGCCAGUCGCAACAAGCGUCAACGCCUGGCUCAUAGACUCCGUUUAUUUCCAUCGCCGUGCCAGUUUCAACAAGCGUCAACACCUGGCUCAUAGAUUCCGUUUAUUUCCGUCGCCGUGCCAGUUUCAACAAGCGUCACCGCCUGACUCAUCAAUCCCGUUUAUUUCCAUCGCCGUGCCAGUUUCAACAAGCGUCACCGCCUGACUCAUCAAUCCCGUUUAUUUCCAUCGGGGUGCCAGUUUCAACAAGCGUCAACGCCUGGCUCAUAAAUUCCGUUUAUUUCCGUCGCCGUGCCAGUUUCCACAAGCGUCACCGCCUGACUCAUCAAUCCCGUUUAUUUCCAUCGCCGUGCCAGUUUCAACAAGCGUCACCGCCUGACUCAUCAAUCCCGUUUAUUUCCAUCGCCGUGCCAGUUUCAACAAGCGUCACCGCCUGACUCAUCCAUCCCGUUUAUUUCCAUCGCCGUGCCAGUUUCAACAAGCGUCAACACCUGGCUCAUAAAUUCCGUUUAUUUCCGUCAUCGUGCGAGUUUCAACAAGCGUCAACGCCUGACUCAUCAAUCCCGUUUAUUUCCAUCGCCGUGCCAGUUUCAACAAGCGUCAACACCUGGCUCAUAAAUUCCGUUUAUUUCCGUCAUCGUGCCAGUUUCAACAAGCGUCAACACCUGGCUCAUAGAUUCCGUUUAUUUCCGUCGCCGUGUCAGUUUCAACAAGCGUCACCGCCUGACUCAUCAAUACCGUUUUUUUUCAUCGCCGUGCCAGUUUCAACAAGCGUCACCGCCUGACUCAUCCAUCCCGUUUAUUUCCAUCGCCGUGCCAGUUUCAACAAGCGUCACCGCCUGACUCAUCCAUCCUGUUUAUUACCAUCGCCGUGCCAGUUUCAACAAGCGUCAACACCUGGCUCAUAAAUUCCGUUUAUUUCCGUCAUCGUGCGAGGUUCAACAAGCGUCACCGCCUGACUCAUCAAUCCCGUUUAUUUCCAUCGCGCUGGUCUGGCUGUCCGCAUAAGGAGUGGGGGUGUGGAUAUAACUUUACGAGGAUAAAA